AAAUUGGUAGGCGCAGACAUGUGGAUUUAAUCUCUUUUAAUACACACGUAAAGUUACAAAGUGUACGCAUGUAGCUAUCAUAGUAAUAAUGAUCUUAAAGAAAGGUGUGUAACAGAUUAUUGUUGUCAUAAGUCUGUCAUGCAGUUGAAGGGUCAAUUUAGUGUAUUAUUAUAAAUAAAUAUAAGGAAUAGAAAAUAUAACAAAAACAGACAUACAUACGUCGCUACAUGCAUGAACAUAAGGUAGCAACAACGGGAACUUAAACAUGUCCCUUUCUCGUUUGUUUAGACAUAGAAUAAAUUAGAGAUAUAAACACAUGUGGAACAUAUAACAUGACUUGAGGUCUGACAUAAUAUGAAUCUGAUCCCUGCUUUUUGUGGUUUGUCUGUCUGGAGGGAAGCCCCACUACUACAGUAAAUACUGUAUUAUAUUGUCCUAUGUGUGAGGCCCCACUACUACAGUAAAUACUGUAUUAUAUUGUCCUAUGUGUGAGGCCCCUCUACUACAGUAAAUACUGUAUUAUAUUGUCCUAUGUGUGAGGCCCCUCUACUACAGUAAAUACUGUAUUAUAUUGUCCUAUGUGUGAGGCCCCUCUACUACAGUAAAUACUGUAUUAUAUUGUCCUAUGUGUGAGGCCCCACUACUACAGUAAAUACUGUAUUAUAUUGUCCUAUGUGUGAGGCCCCUCUACUACAGUAAAUACUGUAUUAUAUUGUCCUAUGUGUGAGGCCCCUCUACUACAGUAAAUACUGUAUUAUAUUGUCCUAUGUGUGGGGUCCCUCUACUACAGUAAAUGCUGUAUUAUAUUGUAUUAUAAGGCCUCUCUACUACCAGAUCUGUAUUAUAAGGCCUACAGUAAAUACUGUAUUAUCCUAGGAUGGGGCCCUAGCCUGGCCCCUCUCUCUACUAUUUAUUAUAUUGCUGCUAUAACCAGUGCUUGACUUGGCCAGGAGCUCACUGGAGCUGAGUACCGGCGCCUCAAAUGUUCUACUGCUUGAGCUCCUGUUCCUCUUAUUGAAUAUUAGCUCAAAAGUAUUGUGAAUAUAAAGAGUACAGGCACCCAAAACGAGUACCGGAGCAUGUUUCAGUUCAAGUCAAGCACUGGCUAUAACAAUACAGGCACUUUGUUUGGUUCUGAGUGAUCUGGAUCUAGCCUGGUCCCAGAUCUGUCUAUGCUGCCUUGCCAUGACAAUAGGCAAAGCAGCAAAAACAGAUCUGGGACCAGGCUAAUUUGGAUCCUGAUAUCAACUGAAUGAUAGUUUCACAUUAAUAGACAACAGAUGCCCUCAUUCUAUAUUUCCAAAACACAACUCUUAGGCCUACUAAAGCGUAAAUGAGGGAUACAAAGUAUAUUGAAAGCAGGUUAAUUAAGAAAUGAACAUCCCACCAUGCUUAGGGUCAUAUAAAAAAUGCCCAGCCAGUUGCCCAUUAUUUGUGUGUGUGUGUGUGUGUGUGUGUGUGUGUGUGUGUGUGUGUCUCAGAUCACCAGAUCUCCACCACAGUCAACAACACACCAAAUGAUGGAAGGAAAGGUGUCAAACACUUGUAGAAUCUAGGCAAAGGUGGAUUGAAGCUGUUUUCCGGCGGCUAGUGGUGCCCCAACACCCUAUUAAGACACUUUAUGUUGGUGUUUCCUUUAUUUUGCCAGUUACCUGUAUAUCGGUCAUAGUAUAUAUUCAUCAUAAUCUCUUACACAAUCUGUAAAUAAUAAUGGUCGUAUUGUACUGUGCCUCUGCAACACUUUCAAUAAUUAUAUUUAAAAUCAUUGAUUUACAUGGAAUGGUAAUUUCCUACAUUGUACAGUCUAAAUUAAAUUCCUCGUGGUUUUUCUAUAAUGUGUUAUUACUUGUGCAUGGACUUGACACCAUAAAAUAUUCAGAUGUGGUCAUCUCUGCAUAGUAGCAAUGUGAUAUCUCUCUUGUGGGCAGUCUGUGAAGAGUCACGUCUCCAUGUGUUUAUGAGCUAUCCUCAUAGCAUGACAUCCAUACAUGACGGUGGCCGGCUGUGUUGCACUUCUAAGAAGUACUUAUAAGAAGUCUCUCUCUCUCUCUAUCUCUUCUCGCUAUGUUGAACAUUCUCCCGUGUGCCUAGUAUUGUUAAUCCAGAUUUUAAAAAUCAGAUUUCUCUCCAGAUGUGAAAUAUAAUCACAUAAUUGCAUCCUUGCUUGUUGUCGAAGCCUUGGUCUGCUAGAUUCAUUCACUCCCUCUUCUCUCUCUCUCUCUCUCUCUCUCUCUUCUCGCUAUGUUUAACAUGCUCCAAUGUGUCUAGUAUUGUUUAUCCAGAGUAUUUAUUCUGAUUUCUCCCCAGGUCUCCUCUUACUUGUUUGACUCUUUCUCUUUUCACAAGUCACCAUUGUUCUUUCUUUC
ensembl:lncRNA